UGGGUGAGUAGCUCCUGUUGGAGAAGCAGGGCACGUGCAAAUUCUAGCUCAAGCACUUCCUCCCUGGGAGCUUAGCUUAAGAUUUAACAAAGCUUUGCACGUGCUCCCCUUCUCCAACACAAGUUUCUCACCUCA